rnacentral:tRNA from 1 species
GGCGCGUUCGUCUAGCGGCCAGGACGUGGCCCUCUCAAGGCCAAAACACGGGUUCGAUUCCCGUACGCGCUACCA